rnacentral:rRNA from 1 species
UCGGGGUGCUUGCACUCUGUGAAACAAGAUACAGGCUAGCGGCGGACGGGUGAGUAACACGUGGGUAACCUGCCCAAGAGAUCGGGAUAACACCUGGAAACAGAUGCUAAUACCGGAUAACAACAGAUGAUGCCUAUCAACUGUUUAAAAGAUGGUUCUGCUAUCACUCUUGGAUGGACCUGCGGUGCAUUAGCUAGUUGGUAGGGUAACGGCCUACCAAGGCGAUGAUGCAUAGCCGAGUUGAGAGACUGAUCGGCCACAUUGGGACUGAGACACGGCCCAAACUCCUACGGGAGGCAGCAGUAGGGAAUCUUCCACAAUGGACGCAAGUCUGAUGGAGCAACGCCGCGUGAGUGAAGAAGGGCUUCGGCUCGUAAAGCUCUGUUGUUGGUGAAGAAGGACAGGGGUAGUAACUGACCUUUGUUUGACGGUAAUCAAUUAGAAAGUCACGGCUAACUACGUGCCAGCAGCCGCGGUAAUACGUAGGUGGCAAGCGUUGUCCGGAUUUAUUGGGCGUAAAGCGAGUGCAGGCGGCUCGAUAAGUCUGAUGUGAAAGCCUUCGGCUCAACCGGAGAAUUGCAUCAGAAACUGUCGAGCUUGAGUACAGAAGAGGAGAGUGGAACUCCAUGUGUAGCGGUGAAAUGCGUAGAUAUAUGGAAGAACACCGGUGGCGAAGGCGGCUCUCUGGUCUGUUACUGACGCUGAGGCUCGAAAGCAUGGGUAGCGAACAGGAUUAGAUACCCUGGUAGUCCAUGCCGUANACGAUGAGUGCUAAGUGUUGGGAGGUUUCCGCCUCUCAGUGCUGCAGCUAACGCAUUAAGCACUCCGCCUGGG